GAUGAACGCUGGCGGCGUGCUUAACACAUGCAAGUCGAACGAAGCGAUGGAGAACGGAGAUUUCGGUUGAAGUUUUCUAUUGACUGAGUGGCGGACGGGUGAGUAACGCGUGGGUAACCUGCCCUAUACAGGGGGAUAACAGUUAGAAAUGACUGCUAAUACCGCAUAAGCGCACAGCUUCGCAUGAAGCGGUGUGAAAAACUGAGGUGGUAUAGGAUGGACCCGCGUUGGAUUAGCUAGUUGGUGAGGUAACGGCCCACCAAGGCGACGAUCCAUAGCCGGCCUGAGAGGGUGAACGGCCACAUUGGGACUGAGACACGGCCCAAACUCCUACGGGAGGCAGCAGUGGGGAAUAUUGCACAAUGGGGGAAACCCUGAUGCAGCGACGCCGCGUGAAGGAAGAAGUAUCUCGGUAUGUAAACUUCUAUCAGCAGGGAAGAAAGUGACGGUACCUGACUAAGAAGCCCCGGCUAAUUACGUGCCAGCAGCCGCGGUAAUACGUAAGGGGCAAGCGUUAUCCGGAUUUACUGGGUGUAAAGGGAGCGUAGACGGUUUGGCAAGUCUGAUGUGAAAGGCAUGGGCUCAACCUGUGGACUGCAUUGGAAACUGUCAGACUUGAGUGCCGGAGAGGCAAGCGGAAUUCCUAGCGUAGCGGUGAAAUGCGUAGAUAUUAGGAGGAACACCAGUGGCGAAGGCGGCCUGCUGGACGGUAA
rnacentral:rRNA from 1 species